GCCUACGGGAGGCAGCAGUGAGGAAUAUUGGUCAAUGGGCUUACGCCUGAACCAGCCAAGUCGCGUGAGGGAAGACUGCCCUAUGGGUUGUAAACCUCUUUUGUCAGGGAGCAACGCCGGCUACGUGUAGCCGGACUGAGAGUACCUGAAGAAAAAGCAUCGGCUAACUCCGUGCCAGCAGCCGCGGUAAUACGGAGGAUGCGAGCGUUAUCCGGAUUUAUUGGGUUUAAAGGGUGCGUAGGCGGAAUGACAAGUCAGCGGUAAAAUCGGGGGGCUCAACCUCGCUCGGCCGUUGAAACUGGCGU
rnacentral:rRNA from 1 species